UCCCUCUUAGCUCAGUGGUAGAGCGCAUCACUCGUACAUGGAAUGUUAUGAUGAGGUCAGUCGUUCAAGUCGGCUAGGGGGAA
rnacentral:tRNA from 1 species